UACGUAGGGUGCAAGCGUUAAUCGGAAUUACUGGGCGUAAAGCGUGCGCAGGCGGUCUUGCAAGACAGGUGUGAAAUCCCCGGGCUUAACCUGGGAACUGCAUUUGUGACUGCAUCGCUGGAGUGCGGCAGAGGGGGAUGGAAUUCCGCGUGUAGCAGUGAAAUGCGUAGAUAUGCGGAGGAACACCGAUGGCGAAGGCAAUCCCCUGGGCCUGCACUGACGCUCAUGCACGAAAGCGUGGGGAGC
rnacentral:rRNA from 1 species